CCGCACCCCACGACCUUCCUCAUCCACUAACCACCGCCGCCGCCGCCGGUGUGCCGCCCGUGCACCUCGCCUCCUCCCUCGCGUCGCCUCCGAACCGCGCCAGCUCGCCGUCGCCGACCUCCCGCCGCGGAUCCCCGUCGCCACCCCAGCACGCCUCGCGUCUUCCAGCCAGCAUGCGCCGCCAUGAGCAGCAGCCCCCAACCUCCGGGCCCCGCCGCCGGGGAUCUCGCAGAUCAGCCGUGCUAGCAUCCCCACGAAGAAGCCCAUCGCACCGGCCCAGUUGUCCGUCAUGGAUGCAACC
rnacentral:rRNA from 1 species